CCAAGGGGUUCAUUGACAGCCACCUUUAUAGCUUCCAUCUCAAUAAUUUCUUAGUUUAGCAAUCAACAUCUAAUUGGAACGUUCUGUGGCAUCCUCCAAAAAUCUGAGAAUGCUGUGAAAAUCCGCUUUGGCAUUUCUGAAGCCAGGAUGUAAUGUCUAUAUUAGAAUCCCCAGGAACAUACAGUAAUUACUUACUCUUCUAAAC